rnacentral:rRNA from 1 species
AACGAACGCUGGCGGCAUGCCUAAUACAUGCAAGUCGAACGAGCCCUUCGGGGUUAGUGGCGCACGGGUGCGUAACGCGUGGGAAUCUGCCCUUGGGUUCGGAAUAACGUCGGGAAACUGACGCAAAUACCGGAUGAUGACGAAAGUCCACAGAUUUAUCGCCCAGGGAUGAGCCCGCGUAGGAUUAGCUAGUUGGUGAGGUAAAGGCUCACCAAGGCGACGAUCCUUAGCUGGUCUGAGAGGAUGAUCAGCCACACUGGGACUGAGACACGGCCCAGACUCCUACGGGAGGCAGCAGUAGGGAAUAUUGGACAAUGGGGGCAACCCUGAUCCAGCAAUGCCGCGUGAGUGAUGAAGGCCUUAGGGUUGUAAAGCUCUUUUACCCGGGAUGAUAAUGACAGUACCGGGAGAAUAAGCCCCGGCUAACUCCGUGCCAGCAGCCGCUGUAACAC